AGUGAACGCUGGCGGUAGGCCUAACACAUGCAAGUCGAACGGCAGCACAGAGGAGCUUGCUCCUUGGGUGGCGAGUGGCGGACGGGUGAGGAAUACAUCGGAAUCUACUCUGUCGUGGGGGAUAACGUAGGGAAACUUACGCUAAUACCGCAUACGACCUACGGGUGAAAGCAGGGGACCUUCGGGCCUUGCGCGAUUGAAUGAACCGAUGUCGGAUUAGCUAGUUGGCGGGGUAAAGGCCCACCAAGGCGACGAUCCGUAGCUGGUCUGAGAGGGUGAUCAGCCACACUGGAACUGAGACACGGUCCAGACUGCUACGGGAGGCAGCAGUGGGGAAUAUUGGACAAUGGGCGCAAGCCUGAUCCAGCCAUACCGCGUGGGUGAAGAAGGCCUUCGGGUUGUAAAGCCCUUUUGUUGGGAAAGAAAUCCAGCUGGCUAAUACCCGGUUGGGAUGACGGUACCCAAAGAAUAAGCACCGGCUAACUACGUGCCAGCAGCCGCAGUAA
rnacentral:rRNA from 1 species